CCACGGCCGGGGCCGGGCCCGAGCUGUUCUCCCCCCCCCCGGUGCCGGGUCAGCCCCAAAUGAGGGGCUGGGGUCGGUCCCAUGUCCCUCCCGGCCGUGGUUUGAUUGGGGUUAAGUACCUGAUUCGGAGUGACUCCGGUUCGUGCUUCGCCGAGGGGUCGGGAGAUGCCCCGCUGCGUGCCAGGGGGGCGCAGGGCUGGAAAAACCCCGCAGCGUGAGGAAAGCACAGAGCAAGGAGAGGAAAGGAGCUAGGGUGAAACAGAGCAGAACAGGGAGGCAGAGCCUGAAAUGGUUCAUCCAAAAGCCACCGCAAAACCUCGGCUCUGUCUUUCGGUACGAUGCAGCACCGACGUCUCGGGGCUCCCCCGGACGAGGCCGAUGGCCCCGUGCAGCAAACAGCCAUAACCACGGCCCCGUCUCAAACCAGCCACAAUAUCACCGAGCUGCUCCGGGAGAAAGGUGGCUGGCAGCUCUGGUCGGCACCCUCGGGGGGCUGCUGGCUGCCCCGCUUGUCGCCAGCGCUCAGGGAUGGCUCGGGGCCUUGGCUGCAGACAGCAUCUGGCUGCAGCCUCGCCGCUCCUUGGCUCCCCGGAGCAGCUUCGGGGCCAGGCUCAGUCUGAAGCCUUUUUAUUGGGAGAUGCAAUUAACUUAAUAAGGGAACAAUUUUCUGUCGGGUCAAACUGAAUCAUUCCCGUUUGGAGAAGACGGCAUUUUUUUUUUUUUUACUGUUGAUUUUAAUGGCUAAAUUUAGCCCCCCGAAGCCCUGACUGCAUUACGAGGACUUUCUCUCCAAGGGACCCACUCACAGCAGAUUUUAUUCCUGAGAACUGGACUCUACAGCACGCUGGACCGAGCUCUGCUUCCUCAGCACAGACAGGAACCGCGGGGUGAGACCUGGAGGACUCCUGGGGCCGAGCUCGCCUCUCCUGCAGGAGCAAACUGGCAGCCGAGGAAAGCAUCUCACAUUCACGUGAAGCAAGCUUAUUUACAAGCAGUGAAGAAAGAAAUCAGCUGGAGUCUAGGGAUGAAAAUGGAAAGUUUCUCAGCAAUGAACCACCAGACCUCAGGUAACCGUAUCCUGCAGAAAGUUGUUUAAUCCAUCUAACCCUCUUCAGGGACUUCAGGCAAAAUCUGCGAAAGUGACACCAGUAAAUAGCUGAAUGCCACUUGUCCCCGCGGCCAAAGCCUUGCCUUGAGGAGAGGAUCCAAUGCGAUGCUAACGCUGACAAGCAGAAAAAAAAAAAAAAAGAGUAAUCGAAUCCCUGCCAGAUGAAAGCCAAUUGUACCCAAAGCUGAGGACUGACCUGAACGCCAGGAAGUUUUUCUAAGAUAGAACAGAGCCAUUGUGCUGCAGGUGAGGGAGGCCAAGGCAGGAGCUAACUGAGGAGGUAACCGAAGGGAAGAGGAAAGCGCCUGGUGCAAGACGGAGAGCCUUCAGGGCGAAGCAGCCCACACUCAGCUGUGGAUUGUACCCGUGGCAGCACCGAGGCCUGAAGGGUUUCAAACCAACCAACGUCACGUCUCUGCUCCUGCUUCAUCUUUCGCUGUCUGCAUCAGAAGCUCCUCAGGGCAAGAAGUCCUCCCGCAGCACACCCAGCCGUGGCGAGGACCCACGGCCAGCAGCGAGUCACCAGCACGGCUCCAUCCCACGCAGCGCCGGGGCUCUCCUGGCCGUGCUGCCUGAUUUUUGCCCUGCUCUGCUCCAAGGGACCGCGCUCGGCCGGCUCAGCUCCCUGCAUCAGUCCCUGCAGGGCUGCGUGGCAGCCUGCCCUGGCGCAAAGGAAUUGCUGGAAGCGCGCCCGGGCAGAGGGCUGGCACAGGUAGCUCCCUGCUCAGCUGAGCUGCACCGCCAGCCCGCUCCAGCGGGGGUUUACGCCGUGGGACCGAGCAGAUAACAGCCCCGCGGUGAUGGCAGAGCAGCUGCGCAGGCAGCUACAGGCAGAAAUAGGUUUUGGUUGAGCACCGCUCUGGAUCAAAUGAACGCUGCCGCUCCGGGUGAUCCCCUGGGAUCUGAAGUCUCGCUCAGCUAGAAAAAGCCUCCUGAGCGACUGGAACACAACGAGGUUUUGUUUCCCUUGGAGAAUCUAAAUGAAACGUGGGGCCCUGCGAGACAGACCUCCUCGCUCCUUAUUCUGAUUAAAAUUUUACACUAUGCUACCCGCUCCCUUCCCUUAAAACAGGGUGUCCAGCUGCCUGGAGACGUGUCCUCAGGGUGGGAGCAGCCAAACUGUGCUUGACAGGAGCACGGAGUAACUCCUAGAGCUGCGCCAAAUGCUAUGCAGGAAGAGCAGGAGGUAAAUCAAAUAGGUCGACAAGCGAGAAAGCACACAUCUGUCAUCUUGCUGAGUGAGUGGCCCUUUGGGAAGGGCCAGUGUUUUUACCCAGAGCUGCUGUGGAGCCACUAAAUAAUACUUACAAGCCGCUCUUGGGCAUGCCAAGGAAAUGAGACGAUACCGGCAGGAUCUCAGCAGAAGUUCGGUGCGGGGAGGACAGGCCGGCAAGCUCCGAUUUAAACAAAUGGCACAGGUUGCUAUGGGAACCUCGAGCAUUUAUAAGAAGCACUUCAAAAACAAAACAGAGUGAGGCAGAUUUCAUAUCCAGUCUGAAAAUGUUUAUGACCAGAAAAGGCAAAGUGGGUGUUAAAUGCUUUUUAGCUAAGUCAAUAGCACCGGCACUCGACGAGGAGGUAUUAUGGAUUUGCAGCACCCACCGUCCGUCUUCUGUCCUGAACCCCAGGAGAACAAUCUUCUGUACUCUGCCAGUAUUGUGGCACAAAAAUUCUGGUUUCUUAACCCCUUCCUGGCACCCCGUCUCUUUCUAAAUUACUGCUGUCAGAAGGAAAUUUCAGGUAGUUACAUUAAACCCAUCAGUCACGACAAGUGGAAAAUACACAGCUAGAAAUAAUCUGACACCGGAGAAUUAAAUUAUGUACUGCUUAACAGCUAAUCAAAACCAAAAAUAAAGAUAUUUUUUUUCUUGAAAAAGAGAAAUUAUGCCCUUGCUCUUGAUUUCCAACAGAACAUGCACAGAUCAACCUGGUACGGCCCAACGCUGCAAUAUUUAAUCAGGUAUCCCCCAGCCAUCAAGAGUUUGCGCUUGAAUAUUCAAUUAUCUGAAUAUUCAAGCUUUGAAUCCUUCGUGCAUGUAAAAGCAUUUGGUUUUGGAUAAACCAAACAGUCCCGCAAUGUAUUUUACUUUGUAUUAUUGUAACGAAUUCUGAGUUUACAACUUUUUCAGUAAGCUUCUGGCUGGGAUUCCUGUACUGUCAAAACAGUCCUGGGAAGCAAGAAAACCUUGGAACUGGAAAAUAAACCCUCUGGACAGCAUUUUUAGAGAUACUGUUUUCAAAUCCACAGAACUAGAGGAAAAGUUCCUCCAGCUGCUUUUAAGUUAAAGCCUAGAAUGUACCUACACAUUUAUGCUGUACAUAAACCUCACGCUGUGCACUUGACUCCAACAGCAGGAAGAGCUGAACACCACCACUCCAAAUUCUCCAGCUGGCCGGUCUCCAGUUAAAAUUCAAGCCUUUGGGUGUCAUGAAAACAACACCAGAGUUAAAAACCUUUAAAAACCCUACCUUUGCACACAUCCUCUUUGGGAACCAUGAGAGUGCUUUUGCAGUAUUAAAGACCAGAUUUCUACCUAGGAGAAAAACGUCCCCGCAGAAAGAUCUCCUGGGGAGAUGUGGGCUGGAAUCUCCUCUGCUCGCAGCCAUUUCCUGCGGUUCCGGCGGGCAGGAGGUUGCAAUCCGCUGCCACCUGGCUAGGUGACAUUUUUGGGAGGAGGUGGGGGGAGGAAGGAAGGACCCACAACUUCCCAGCUGGCACGAAGAAACCCGACCUCUGUGCCAACUGUUCCCCUUACAGCCAGGGCUCGAAGGCCAGGGGGAGGGACCACGCCACGUGCCUUCUCCCCACCGUCAUCCUGCUUCGGAUACGAGCAGCAGCACGGCCGGCACACAGACAGCAGCAAUAAAGUGAUGUCACCCCCGGAGAGCUCCAUGGGAUACGGCAUUCCUCUUUUAAAUCAUUUUAUUUUGAGGGGCAAACCUCUGUAUUUUUCCAGUUCAACCCAAAUAAACAAAAUUACAACACAGUUUGCUAACAUUAUGAAUUGAAACUGAGAAAGUAAGCAAGGAACUGUUUGUUUUCCUCAACAGCAUCAGUCUCCAGGGCCCUGCCUGUGCAUCACAGCCCCAUUGAAUUCAAACAAGUUGCAAUUUCCAUAGGUUUGGGUUUGUGGGUUUAAGAAGUUCCCACCAGUCCCCAUCUCCUACUCCUUUUGCAGCAUGACUGCUUUUAACAAAGUGUAAACAAACGUAGAACUAAAUGUAUGAACUACUAAAGGCUAACAUGUUGCCUAGUCAGAAUACCUGGAGAAAUCAGAUGCCCUUCGGUUAAGGAAAACACUCUUUUUAAGGACUGCAACAACUGGGCACACAUACAGGGACAUAAGCAAAGCACCAGCUACCUGAAGAAAAUGAAUUUUAAAGUAAACUCCACCUGCUUCAACAUGAAUUCUCAAAACAUACAUCACUGAGUCCAUAUCUUAGAUUCAAGUACAAGAAAUUAAUAUUACAUUGGAAACUUAUUUCAAAUGUAUUUCCAAAAACAUAUUGCUUUAGGAACUGGGAUAAAAGUGAAGAAAUUAUUAGAUAACAAAAUAAGCUUCCCAAUAACAUGCAUUCAUUUUAGAAGAAUAAGCUAUUUCAAAAUCUGUAUGGUGUUUUAAAUAGAGAAUCUCCUAAUAAGUUUGUCUGAUACACAAACAAAUUUGGCUUCUGCCAAAUUUCAGAAUACAGGGAAUGAAACGACUCGACAGCCUGUCCUUUAGGUUACCAGUGCCUUUAAAAAUAGGCAUAACUGAGUGUUAACAACUUGACUGCUCUUGUCCAGAACAACUUUAAACUACAGAUAAUGCUGGCUACGAAGAGACAGGCAUUUUCCAACCACCUGCUUAUUCUUGCAUUAAAGCAGCUUGCCAGUAUGUUACAAGGCACAGAGUAUUUCCCCGUGCUUAGAUCGUGCUUCAAGCAGAAAGCGAAGCGAUACCAAACCAGCGUUUUGAUCCGGGACAGGGGAUGCCAUCGCUGCAGUGAGAACCAUGCAGACAACAUGUGUGACGACUGAGAAGGCAACCACCAGCUCCCUGGUUCUAACAACAGGUAGGAUGUACCUAGGUCAGGCAAACUCCAACAAGGCAACCAAGAAUCGGGUCUGAGCUGCUGACUGCUGCUCUGUAACAGCAGCUAUUUGAGAGAGAGCCCUGCAAGCAAGCCCUGCUCUAACGCAGCAAGCACCACUCUAGGAGCAGGAUGUUUUGCUAGCAGCACCAGACUGGGUGCUGCGCCCGGUGAUACUAACACUAUACUUACAGCUUUACAACUUACAGUGUGAUUAUAAUAAUUUGUGUCCAAAUCUUUGGGCCAAUUCUGGAUAUCAAGUUUGGCAGCGCAAGUGUGAAUUUUAGGGAUGCUGACAUUUCUUGUCCCACCUAAAAUCACUGAAAGCCAUAACUCAGUUGUGCUAAAAAGAAAGUAAGAAUGCAUUAGUAAAUUCUAAAAAAAAAAAAAAA